rnacentral:pre_miRNA from 1 species
GUCUACUGGUGUGUGAAUGGCGUUCAGCACCAAGAACAGGUAUGUCUACUGGUGUGUGGAUGGCGUUCAGCACCAAGGACAGGUAUGUCUACUG